CCGCGCUGCAGCGUGUGGCUACUAGCAGCGGGCUGCUGCUCGGCGCUGCGCAUCAGGGCAGAGCCCAGCCCUCCCCUGCCAUGCCUGGGAGCACCACUGUGCUAAAGGUGCUCCCAACAUUUCCUGCGAUAUUAGCAGCCUCUCCUGCGAGCCACAGUGAGUGCAGCAAUGCAGGGACGUGCACUAAAUACACGCUGCCGCUGUCGGCUUUAAGGAUAACCGCACUGGUAGAGGGAGCAGUGAUAAAUACAAGACGUGCCCCGAGUGCCUUGACACUGCUGAACGGCCAAACUGCAGGACCUCACCAAUUACAUGGCUGCUUUUCCAUGGCAGACCUGUGUGUUAAUUCACAGUUCUGCAGUGCUCUGCUGGAGAAGACAUCCCUUUAGGGCUAAGCUCUCACUGACUUGCGUUGCAGGAGAGAGGAAAAGUUGGAGCUCCUUCUCAGCUCUUGGGUAAGCACAAACCUGGAUUAAAAACUUGCAUUCUGACAUGGUUCCUCAGCAGAAUCACAGAAUCUCCAAGUCAAAGGAAAAUAAAAUUGGACAGGAAACAUGACA
rnacentral:lncRNA from 1 species